UGCGGAGGGAUCAUUGCUGGAACGCGCCCCAGGCGCACCCAGAAACCCUUUGUGAACUUAUACCUUACUGUUGCCUCGGCGUACGCUGGCCCCUAGGGGUCCCUCUCGUCUCGAGAGGAGCAGGCGCGCCGGCGGCCAAGUUAACUCUUGUUUUUACACUGAAACUCUGAGAAAAAAACAAAAUGAAUCAAAACUUUCAACAACGGAUCUCUUGGUUCUGGCAUCGAUGAAGAACGCAGCGAAAUGCGAUAAGUAAUGUGAAUUGCAGAAUUCAGUGAAUCAUCGAAUCUUUGAACGCACAUUGCGCCCUCCGGUAUUCCGGAGGGCAUGCCUGUUCGAGCGUCAUUUCAACCCUCAAGCCUGGCUUGGUGUUGGGGCACUGCCUGUAAGAGGGCAGGCCCUCAAAUCUAGUGGCGAGCUCGCCAGGACCCCGAGCGUAGUAGUUAAACCCUCGCUUUGGAAGGCCCUGGCGGUGCCCUGCCGUUAAACCCCCAACUCUUUGAAAAUUUGACCUCGGAUCAGGUAGGAAUACCCGCUGAACUUAAGCAUA
rnacentral:rRNA from 1 species